rnacentral:rRNA from 1 species
CAGUUAUUGGGUAUCAAAACCUAAUAGCGAAAUUAACAUAACUUUUAUGGGAUUAGUUUUUAGAUUAUUUAUAGUCUAUUAAUUCAAUCCCGGGGCGUUCUAUAUAGUUAUGUAUAAUAAUAUUUAUAUUAUUUAUACCUCUAACUAGAGCGUACCUUGAGCAUAUAUGCUGUGACCCGAAAGAUGGUGAACUAUACUUGAUCAGGUUGAAGUCAGGGGAAACCCUGAUGGAAGACCGAAACAGUUCUGACGUGCAAAUCGAUUGUCAGAAUUGAGUAUAGGGGCGAAAGACCAAUCGAACCAUCUAGUAGCUGGUUCCCUCCGAAGUUUCCCUCAGGAUAGCUGGUGCAUUUAAAUAUUAUGUAAAAUAAUCUUAUCUGGUAAAGCGAAUGAUUAGAGGCCUUAGGGUCGAAACGACCUUAACCUAUUCUCAAACUUUAAAUGGGUAAGAACCUCACCUUUCUUGGUAUGAAGGUUGUGGUUGUGAUAUAAUGUGCCCAGUGGGCCACUUUUGGUAAGCAGAACUGGCGCUGUGGGAUGAACCAAACGUAAUGUUACGGUGCCCAAAUUAACAACUCAUGCAGAUACCAUGAAAGGCGUUGGUUGCUUAAAACAGCAGGACGGUGGACAUGGAAGUCGUAAUCCGC